rnacentral:rRNA from 9 species
UUAAGCGACUAAGCGUACACGGUGGAUGCCCUGGCAGUCAGAGGCGAUGAAGGACGUGCUAAUCUGCGAUAAGCGUCGGUAAGGUGAUAUGAACCGUUAUAACCGGCGAUUUCCGAAUGGGGAAACCCAGUGUGUUUCGACACACUAUCAUUAACUGAAUCCAUAGGUUAAUGAGGCGAACCGGGGGAACUGAAACAUCUAAGUACCCCGAGGAAAAGAAAUCAACCGAGAUUCCCCCAGUAGCGGCGAGCGAACGGGGAGCAGCCCAGAGCCUGAAUCAGUGUGUGUGUUAGUGGAAGCGUCUGGAAAGGCGCGCGAUACAGGGUGACAGCCCCGUACACAAAAAUGCACAUACUGUGAGCUCGAUGAGUAGGGCGGGACACGUGGUAUCCUGUCUGAAUAUGGGGGGACCAUCCUCCAAGGCUAAAUACUCCUGACUGACCGAUAGUGAACCAGUACCGUGAGGGAAAGGCGAAAAGAACCCCGGCGAGGGGAGUGAAAAAGAACCUGAAACCGUGUACGUACAAGCAGUGGGAGCCUCUUAAUGGGGUGACUGCGUACCUUUUGUAUAAUGGGUCAGCGACUUAUAUUCUGUAGCAAGGUUAACCGAAUAGGGGAGCCGAAGGGAAACCGAGUCUUAACUGGGCGUUAAGUUGCAGGGUAUAGACCCGAAACCCGGUGAUCUAGCCAUGGGCAGGUUGAAGGUUGGGUAACACUAACUGGAGGACCGAACCGACUAAUGUUGAAAAAUUAGCGGAUGACUUGUGGCUGGGGGUGAAAGGCCAAUCAAACCGGGAGAUAGCUGGUUCUCCCCGAAAGCUAUUUAGGUAGCGCCUCGUGAAUUCAUCUCCGGGGGUAGAGCACUGUUUCGGCAAGGGGGUCAUCCCGACUUACCAACCCGAUGCAAACUGCGAAUACCGGAGAAUGUUAUCACGGGAGACACACGGCGGGUGCUAACGUCCGUCGUGAAGAGGGAAACAACCCAGACCGCCAGCUAAGGUCCCAAAGUCAUGGUUAAGUGGGAAACGAUGUGGGAAGGCCCAGACAGCCAGGAUGUUGGCUUAGAAGCAGCCAUCAUUUAAAGAAAGCGUAAUAGCUCACUGGUCGAGUCGGCCUGCGCGGAAGAUGUAACGGGGCUAAACCAUGCACCGAAGCUGCGGCAGCGACACUAUGUGUUGUUGGGUAGGGGAGCGUUCUGUAAGCCUGUGAAGGUGUACUGUGAGGUAUGCUGGAGGUAUCAGAAGUGCGAAUGCUGACAUAAGUAACGAUAAAGCGGGUGAAAAGCCCGCUCGCCGGAAGACCAAGGGUUCCUGUCCAACGUUAAUCGGGGCAGGGUGAGUCGACCCCUAAGGCGAGGCCGAAAGGCGUAGUCGAUGGGAAACAGGUUAAUAUUCCUGUACUUGGUGUUACUGCGAAGGGGGGACGGAGAAGGCUAUGUUGGCCGGGCGACGGUUGUCCCGGUUUAAGCGUGUAGGCUGGUUUUCCAGGCAAAUCCGGAAAAUCAAGGCUGAGGCGUGAUGACGAGGCACUACGGUGCUGAAGCAACAAAUGCCCUGCUUCCAGGAAAAGCCUCUAAGCAUCAGGUAACAUCAAAUCGUACCCCAAACCGACACAGGUGGUCAGGUAGAGAAUACCAAGGCGCUUGAGAGAACUCGGGUGAAGGAACUAGGCAAAAUGGUGCCGUAACUUCGGGAGAAGGCACGCUGAUAUGUAGGUGAAGUCCCUUGCGGAUGGAGCUGAAAUCAGUCGAAGAUACCAGCUGGCUGCAACUGUUUAUUAAAAACACAGCACUGUGCAAACACGAAAGUGGACGUAUACGGUGUGACGCCUGCCCGGUGCCGGAAGGUUAAUUGAUGGGGUUAGCGGUAACGCGAAGCUCUUGAUCGAAGCCCCGGUAAACGGCGGCCGUAACUAUAACGGUCCUAAGGUAGCGAAAUUCCUUGUCGGGUAAGUUCCGACCUGCACGAAUGGCGUAAUGAUGGCCAGGCUGUCUCCACCCGAGACUCAGUGAAAUUGAACUCGCUGUGAAGAUGCAGUGUACCCGCGGCAAGACGGAAAGACCCCGUGAACCUUUACUAUAGCUUGACACUGAACAUUGAGCCUUGAUGUGUAGGAUAGGUGGGAGGCUUUGAAGUGUGGACGCCAGUCUGCAUGGAGCCGGCCUUGAAAUACCACCCUUUAAUGUUUGAUGUUCUAACGUUGGCCCCUUACCGGGGUUGCGGACAGUGUCUGGUGGGUAGUUUGACUGGGGCGGUCUCCUCCUAAAGAGUAACGGAGGAGCACGAAGGUUGGCUAAUCCUGGUCGGACAUCAGGAGGUUAGUGCAAUGGCAUAAGCCAGCUUGACUGCGAGCGUGACGGCGCGAGCAGGUGCGAAAGCAGGUCAUAGUGAUCCGGUGGUUCUGAAUGGAAGGGCCAUCGCUCAACGGAUAAAAGGUACUCCGGGGAUAACAGGCUGAUACCGCCCAAGAGUUCAUAUCGACGGCGGUGUUUGGCACCUCGAUGUCGGCUCAUCACAUCCUGGGGCUGAAGUAGGUCCCAAGGGUAUGGCUGUUCGCCAUUUAAAGUGGUACGCGAGCUGGGUUUAGAACGUCGUGAGACAGUUCGGUCCCUAUCUGCCGUGGGCGCUGGAGAACUGAGGGGGGCUGCUCCUAGUACGAGAGGACCGGAGUGGACGCAUCACUGGUGUUCGGGUUGUCAUGCCAAUGGCACUGCCCGGUAGCUAAAUGCGGAAGAGAUAAGUGCUGAAAGCAUCUAAGCACGAAACUUGCCCCGAGAUGAGUUCUCCCUGACUCCUUGAGAGUCCUGAAGGAACGUUGAAGACGACGACGUUGAUAGGCCGGGUGUGUAAGCGCAGCGAUGCGUUGAGCUAACCGGUACUAAUGAACCGUGAGGCUUAACCUU